UGGGGAAUAUUGGACAAUGGGCGCAAGCCUGAUCCAGCCAUGCCGCGUGAGUGAAGAAGGCCUUAGGGUUGUAAAACUCUUUCGCCGGGGAAGAUAAUGACGGUACCCGGAGAAGAAGCUCCGGCUAACUUCGUGCCAGCAGCCGCGGUAAUACGAAGGGAGCUAGCGUUGUUCGGAAUCACUGGGCGUAAAGCGCACGUAGGCGGAUUGUUUAGUCAGGGGUGAAAUCCCGGAGCUCAACUUCGGAACUGCCUCUGAUACUGGCAAUCUCGAGUCCGAUAGAGGUGGGUGGAAUUCCUAGUGUAGAGGUGAAAUUCGUAGAUAUUAGGAAGAACACCGGUGGCGAAGGCGGCCCACUGGAUCGGUACUGACGCUGAGGUGCGAAAGCGUGGGGAGCAAACGGGAUUAGAUACCCCCGUAGUCCCUGAGCGGGCUGGCAAGGCGCAU
rnacentral:rRNA from 1 species